rnacentral:rRNA from 1 species
GGGUGUCUCAUGCGACGACGGGUAGCCGGCCUGAGAGGGCGACCGGCCACACUGGGACUGAGACACGGCCCAGACUCCUACGGGAGGCAGCAGUGGGGAAUAUUGCACAAUGGGCGAAAGCCUGAUGCAGCGACGCCGCGUGAGGGAUGACGGCCUUCGGGUUGUAAACCUCUUUCAGCAGGGAAGAAGCGAAAGUGACGGUACCUGCAGAAGAAGCGCCGGCUAACUACGUGCCAGCAGCCGCGGUAAUACGUAGGGCGCAAGCGUUGUCCGGAAUUAUUGGGCGUAAAGAGCUCGUAGGCGGCUUGUCGCGUCGGAUGUGAAAGCCCGGGGCUUAACCCCGGGUCUGCAUUCGAUACGGGCAGGCUAGAGUUCGGUAGGGGAGAUCGGAAUUCCUGGUGUAGCGGUGAAAUGCGCAGAUAUCAGGAGGAACACCGGUGGCGAAGGCGGAUCUCUGGGCCGAUACUGACGCUGAGGAGCGAAAGCGUGGGGAGCGAACAGGAUUAGAUACCCUGGUAGUCCACGCCGUAAACGUUGGGAACUAGGUGUGGGCGACAUUCCACGUCGUCCGUGCCGCAGCUAACGCAUUAAGUUCCCCGCGGGGGAGGGAGGACGGGG